rnacentral:misc_RNA from 1 species
GUGAAUCAUCGAAUUUUUGAACGCAAAUUGCACUAUCUUCGGAGAGUAUGCUUGUGUGAGGGUCAGCGUAUAAAAAUAGAAAUCGAUGUUGUUUCGCGGUGGGGUUUGACGGAAAGUGGGUCAUCUUAAAUGCUUUUGAUUUAAGCGACUUAAAAUUUUCUUUUGGUUUUAUGAAUGUUUCUAAGAUAUAUUUUUUUACACGUUUAAGGUAUCGAUUGUUACUCGACGUGACCAUCAUAUCGGAUAGCGUCCAU